rnacentral:rRNA from 1 species
UCCUACGGGACGCAGCAGUGAGGAAUAUUGGUCAAUGGACGAGAGUCUGAACCAGCCAAGUAGCGUGAAGGAUGACUGCCCUAUGGGUUGUAAACUUCUUUUAUAUGGGAAUAAAGCAGGGUAUGCAUACCCUCUUGCAUGUACCAUAUGAAUAAGGAUCGGCUAACUCCGUGCCAGCAGCCGCGGUAAUACGGAGGAUCCGAGCGUUAUCCGGAUUUAUUGGGUUUAAAGGGAGCGUAGGUGGAUUGUUAAGUCAGUUGUGAAAGUUUGCGGCUCAACCGUAAAAUUGCAGUUGAAACUGGCAG